UACGAAGGGGGCUAGCGUUGCUCGGAAUCACUGGGCGUAAAGCGCACGUAGGCGGCUUUUUAAGUCAGGGGUGAAAUCCUGGAGCUCAACUCCAGAACUGCCUUUGAUACUGGGAAGCUUGAGUCCGGAAGAGGUGAGUGGAACUCCGAGUGUAGAGGUGAAAUUCGUAGAUAUUCGGAAGAACACCAGUGGCGAAGGCGGCUCACUGGCUCAUUACUGACGCUCAGGCGCGAUAGCGUGGGGAUCAAACAGG
rnacentral:rRNA from 1 species